rnacentral:lncRNA from 1 species
CCGCGGCAUCCUUUCUUACAUCCAUAAUGUACAAGCUUCUGAAAAAAUGAUGAGGUCUCAGAAAGAGUUUUUUUUAAAGGGACCCUCUUUGUCCCUUCGCAAUCCAUUAGUGACAAGACUAGGUAGCAUAAGAGUCAAUCCAAAGCUCGUCUCACUAAACACCUGCAUUAGUAUAUUACACGUUUUACAUGCUUGAAAAGACUAGAACAAGUCGUGGGAAUAGCCUCACUUAAAAUGAGUUUUCCCUUUUGUGCAAAAAUUGACUUUCUUGCUUCGUUAAUCAUGUUAGCUC